UAAUCAUCUUGCUACAGCUUCCAGAGGGC
rnacentral:piRNA from 2 species